AAAAUGCACUAGGGGUGUGUAUACUGAGAUGAGGUUUAACCUCGAACCCUUUGAACCUGAACUAGUUAAAACUAGCGUAGGAAAGUGUUGCUAAUAUAAA
rfam:Staphylococcus haemolyticus JCSC1435 DNA, complete genome.